UGAUGAGCAUUAUCUUGGUGCUCUGGGCUGGAUGAUUGCUGCCCCCCAGCACCGUUUUGGCAUGGUGGCUUGGCCUGUGCAGGACAGGGCUUCACUCUGUCACCCCCUCUGUCACUCUUGCCCUGUAAUCUCUCUCGCCGCACCUCUGUAUGUGUGUGUGUAGAGCAGGGAGGGGUUCAGAGGGACGAUCCAUGCUCCCAGAAUGCAUCGCCCUUUCGUUGUUGCAUUACCCAUUGCACUGAACUACCAAAGUCUUCCUCACUUCUAUGUGUGACUUCCACAGUUGGUUUUGCAGUUUCCUUCCUAGACCGCUUUUCAACUACUGUGUUGCUUGAUGUUUUGCACUUGUGCAUAAUUACCCGUAUUCUCAACCUCCAUGGAUGGAUACUAUGCUACAGACAAGACCAUUUGUCAAUAAAUGUUUCUACGUUUUGUAAGAUAAA
rnacentral:lncRNA from 1 species